ensembl:lncRNA
CGAAUGUGCCUGAUCUCAUCUAGCUGGCAUUUGAAUUGCAGAAUGAUAGAGUCUGACCAGUGUGUCCUGACUGUCUUCAUAGACAGUGACAAGCAGCUUGUGUGUGCCAUAAGCUUGGUGGUGGUUGUCUUAUAACGUCAGCAUUACAUGAUGAUAAAACUCCACUUUUAACUCAAGUGAAGUUGUACUGUAAAAACAUCCCAAGGCCUCAUUUGCUGACUCUGCCAAAAUGUACUGGGUAUCUUUAGUAUGUACUAUAGUGCUUCCCAGGUGGCUCAGUAGUAAAGAUUCCACCCACCAAUGCCAGAAAUGCAGGGGAUAUGGGUUUGAUUCCUGGGUUGAGAAGAUCUCCUGGAGAAGGGAAUGACAAUCCAUUCCACUAUUCUUGCCGGGAAAACCCUAGGGACAGAGGAGCCUGGCGGGCUACAUACAGUUCAAGGAGUCACAAAGAGUUGGACACAACUGAGCAUGUAUGCAUAACUCAUAGUGCCCCACCCAGGUCCCCUUUGCUUGUUGGUACAUGUGUUCUUCAGCUGCUGUUAAGUGCUACAGCCAUGGGCUUAUAUCUGGGAGUCACCUCACUUGGAGAUAUAUGGAAGUUUCUACUUCUUGAUCCCCAUGGCCAAUGACUGGAUGAUAUAUGGAUGUACAGUUGGCUUUGCUAGAUAUGGUACAACAGAGGCCAGAAUAUGGCAUCAGUCUAUAUAAGUGCCAGAUACAUAUAAGGCAAUGUUCAUUUUCAAGAGAUCGAUGCUGCCUGGUGGUGGAUCCACGGCAUUUGUCCUACAGCAGCCACUGAGUGGUGGCCUGAAUGUCUUAGGGACGGGGCACGCCACCUGCCAUACUUGGAGGAGUAAUUUAGAGCCACAGUGGAAGACCAGCCUCUCUAAAAAAAAAAAAAAAAAGGUAAGAAUGCUUUUAUGAACAGAUACAAAACAACUUUCAAGGUAUGUUAUGUGAAAAGAG